GCACUACGAGAGUGAACUGCGAAUGGCUCAUUAUAUAAGUUAUCGUUUAUUUGAUAGUGCCUGUCCUACACGGAUAACAGUGGUAAUUCUAGAGCUAAUACGUGCGAAAUGCCCCGACUUCGGAAGGGGCGUAUUUAUCAGAAUCAGAACCAAUGCCCUCACGGGCUCUCUGGUGGCUCAUGAUAACUCCACAGAUCGCAUGGCCUUGCGCCGGCGAUGGCUCAUUCAAAUUUCUUCCCUAUCAACUUUCGACGGUACGGUCUUGGCCUACCGUGGUUGCAACGGGUGACGGAGGGUUAGGGCUCGACCCCGGAGAAGGAGCCUGAGAAACGGCUGCUACAUCCAAGGAAGGCAGCAGGCGCGCAAAUUAUCCAAUCCCGACUCGGGGAGAUAGUGACAAUAAAUACCGAUACAGGGCUCUUUUGGGCCCCGUAAUUGGAAUGAGUACAAUUUAAACCUCUUAACGAGGAACAAUUGGAGGGCAAGUCUGGUGGACAUCCAGUUCCCUGCUGGCGCCAGCAAGAGUGGGCGGCUUCGCCGUCGAACCCGCUAGUCGAGCACUCGUUUUCAUGGCGGGAGGGUGCCGGCGAGACAACCUGGAUCGGGGGAGGCUAAGGGGCGCCCCAGCCCUAUGCUGAUCCCGAGCAGAGCUGCCCGGGAGCGAUCCCGGGCGAGCCUGUGUAGAGCGCGCAAAGGUGUCGGCCGUCCUGCUGACUCGCCCCGUCGGGGGGCGCGGCAGGCGGCUUGAGGUACGUGCCGACCCCCGCGAAAGCGGUGCCCUGGCUUCCGAGCGCCCGCCGCGCGAGGAACUAGGGGCCGCCCCGGACUCUCCGGGGCGGUGGAGCAAGCAAGCAAAUCACGGCCAGCAGCCGCGGUAAUUCCAGCUCCAAUAGCGUAUAUUAAAGUUGUUGUGGUUAAAAAGCUCGUAGUCGAACCUCGGGCCCGUCCGGCCGGUCCGCCUCACCGCGUGCACUGGUCUGGCCGGGCCCUUCCCUCUGCGGAACCGCAUGCCCUUCGCUGGGCGUGCCGGGGAGGCAGGACUUUUACUUUGAAAAAAUUAGAGUGCUCAAGGCAGGCCAAUGCUCGGAUAGAUUAGCAUGGAAUAAUGAAAUAGGACGUCGGUUCUAUUUUGUUGGUUUCUAGGACCGCCGUAAUGAUCAAUAGGGACGGUCGGGGGCAUCAGUAUUCGGCCGCGAGAGGUGAAAUUCUUAGACCGGCCGAAGACUAACUACUGCGAAAGCAUUUGCCAAGGACGUUUUCGCUGAUCAGGAACGAAAGUUAGGGGAUCGAAGACGAUCAGAUACCGUCGUAGUCUUAACCAUAAACGGUGCCGACUUGGGAUCGGGCGCUGUUCUUUCUAGACGCGCUCGGCACCAUUCGAGAAAUCAAAGUGCGUG
rnacentral:rRNA from 1 species